rnacentral:rRNA from 1 species
UACGUAGGUGGCAAGCGUUAUCCGGAAUGAUUGGGCGUAAAGGGUGCGCAGGCGGCUGUUCAAGUCUGAAGUAAAAGGCACGGGCUUAACCCGUGCUGGCUUUGGAAACUGGGCAGCUUGAGGACAGGAGAGGGCGGUGGAACUCCAUGUGUAGCGGUAAAAUGCGUAGAUAUAUGGAAGAACACCAGUGGCGAAGGCGGCCGCCUGGCCUGGACCUGACGCUGAGGCACGAAAGCGUGGGGAGCAAAUAGG